UACGUAGGGGGCAAGCGUUGUCCGGAAUCAUUGGGCGUAAAGCGCGUGUAGGCGGCUCGAUAAGUCUGCUGUGAAAGUCCAGGGCUCAACCCUGGGAUGCCGGUGGAUACUGUCGAGCUCGAGUCCGGAAGAGGCGAGUGGAAUUCCUGGUGUAGCGGUGAAAUGCGCAGAUAUCGGGAGGAACACCAAUGGCGAAGGCAGCUCGCUGGGACGUGACUGACGCUGAGACGCGAAAGCGUGGGAGCAACAGG
rnacentral:rRNA from 1 species